rnacentral:rRNA from 1 species
GGCUUGACAUGCCGCUGACCGGUUUAGAGAUAGACUCUUACCUUCGGGGUACAGCGGACACAGGUGGUGCAUGGUUGUCGUCAGCUCGUGUCGUGAGAUGUUGGGUUAAGUCCCGCAACGAGCGCAACCCUUGCUUUAGUUGCCAUCAUUAAGUUGGGCACUCUAAAGAGACUGCCGAUGACAAAUCGGAGGAAGGUGGGGAUGACGUCAAGUCCUCAUGGCCCUUACAUCCCGGGCUACACACGUGCUACAAUGGCAGGUACAGAGGGCUGCGAAGCCGCGAGGUGGAGCGAAUCCCAGAAAACCUGUCUCAGUCCGGAUUGAAGUCUGCAACUCGACUUCAUGAAGGCGGAAUCGCUAGUAACCGCGAAUCAGCAGGUCGCGGUGAAUACGUUCCCGGGCCUU